rnacentral:rRNA from 1 species
CCUACGGGAGGCAGCAGUGAGGAAUAUUGGUCAAUGGACGGAAGCCUGAACCAGCCAUGCCGCGUGCAGGAAGACGGCUCUAUGAGUUGUAAACUGCUUUUGUACAAGGGUAAACCUGAAUACGUGUAUUCAGCUGAAAGUACUUUACGAAUAAGGAUCGGCUAACUCCGUGCCAGCAGCCGCGGUAAUACGGAGGAUCCAAGCGUUAUCCGGAUUUAUUGGGUUUAAAGGGUGCGUAGGCGGAUUGAUAAGUUAGUGGUGAAAUGUCCGAGCUUAACUCUGGAACUGCCUCUAAUACUGUUGAUCGAGAGUGCAGAUGAGGUAGGCGGAAUGUGUGGUGUAGCGGUGAAAUGCUUAGAGAUCAUACAGAACACCGAUUGCGAAGGCAGCUUACCAAUCUAUAUCUGACGUUGAGGCACGAAAGCGUGGGGAGCAAACAGGAUUAGAUACCCUUGUAGUC